UACGGGGGGAGCAAGCGUUGUUCGGAUUUACUGGGCGUAAAGGGCGCGUAGGCGGCCACCGCAAGUCGACUGUGAAAUCUCCGGGCUUAACCCGGAAAGGUCAGCCGAUACUGCGGGGCUAGAGUGCAGAAGGGGCAACCGGAAUUCUCGGUGUAGCGGUGAAAUGCGUAGAUAUCGAGAGGAACACCUGCGGCGAAGGCGGGUUGCUGGGCUGACACUGACGCUGAUGUGCGAAAGCUAGGGGAGCGAACGGG
rnacentral:rRNA from 1 species